GUAAGAUGAGUUCUGAGGGCUUUUUUGCAUCUGUGAAUUGUGACUUCUCACGGGGAACUCACACACUUGAGUGACCUGAGAAGACCAUGAAGUGUGAUGUAUUUAACCUCAAUUACAUCACCAUUUCUCAUGUGAUUUUUUUUUCAUUUCAGUUGUCAACGGGAACAUUAUCGUGCCCAAACUUACAAAACUUCCAGACAAAGCUUCCUGAGAGAAGUUGAAAGGCCACCAUCAGCUGAGAAGCUGUGACGAUAUUUGUAGCUGCCUGAAUUGGAGCCAACAAAAACCAGGCUGAAAACAGACUUCCAGAAGAUUCCCCUGCCCAGGAUGGUCUUGUUGGGAUGGAUCCUCUUGCCCCUGGUGCUCUGCAUUCAUG
rnacentral:lncRNA from 1 species